rnacentral:rRNA from 1 species
UACGAGCGGCCCAAACGUUAUUCGGAUUUACUGGGCUUAAAGAGUUCGUAGGCGGCGCGGAAAGUAGGGUGUGAAAGCCCUCGGCUCAACCGAGGAAUUGCGCCCUAAACUGCCGUGCUAGAGGAACCUAGAGGUGAGCAGAACUGAUGGUGGAGCGGUGAAAUGCGUUGAUAUCAUCAGGAACACCGAUGGCGAAGGCAGGUCUCUGGGCAUUAACUGACGCUGAGGAGCGAAAGCAUGGGGAGCGAACAGG